GACGAACGCUGGCGGCGUGCUUAACACAUGCAAGUCGAACGGAAAGGCCCUGCUUGCAGGGUACUCGAGUGGCGAACGGGUGAGUAACACGUGGGUGAUCUGCCCUGCACUUCGGGAUAAGCCUGGGAAACUGGGUCUAAUACCGGAUAGGAGCCAUUUUUAGUGUGAUGGUUGGAAAGUUUUUUCGGUGUAGGAUGAGCUCGCGGCCUAUCAGCUUGUUGGUGGGGUAAUGGCCUACCAAGGCGGCGACGGGUAGCCGGCCUGAGAGGGUGGACGGCCACAGUGGGACUGAGAUACGGCCCAGACUCCUACGGGAGGCAGCAGGGGGGAAUAUUGCACAAUGGGCGCAAGCCUGAUGCAGCGACGCCGCGUGGGGGAUGACGGCCUUCGGGUUGUAAACUCCGUUCGCUAGGGACGAAGCUUUUUGUGACGGUACCUAGAUAAGAAGCACCGGCUAACUACGUG
rnacentral:rRNA from 1 species